UCGACUGUUUUCCAAAAACAUAGUUUAUAUUUAAAUUAUAGAUGCAAUAUGGUCAAUGGAAAUUUUUUUAAAUUCAAGCCUUAGCGUGAGAGUAAUAAUGUAGCGUAAUAAUUUGAUACUUAAUUGGUGUCUGGUAUGAAUGCUUAAACGAUUAUAAAUUUGUCUCAAAAAUAGAAUAAAAGUUAAGAUUCUUUUUUAAAAUUAUAAGACAAGAAGACCCUAUAAACCUUUACUAAAAAUUUAUAGUUUAACUGGGUCAGUUACCUUUUAUAAUAAAAAAGGUAUUUUUUGUUUACAAUAUAAUGUUAACAAAUUAUUAUUAUUUAAAUGACCUUUUUAAUUAAACUAAAUUAAUAAAUUAAUAAAUAAAAGGUACUUUGAGGAUAACAGCGUUAUUUAAAAAAGAGUUGAUAUCAAAUUUUAAGUUUACAAUCUCGAUGUUGAAUUUAGAUAUCCCAUAACUGCAAAAGGUUAUAAAGGUUAGAUUGUUCAUCUAUUAAAAUCUUACAUGAUUUGAGUUCAUUCCGUAAAUCUUACAUGAUUUGAGUUCAUUCCGU
rnacentral:rRNA from 1 species